rnacentral:rRNA from 1 species
UACGUAGGGUGCAAGCGUUAAUCGGAAUUACUGGGCGUAAAGCGUGCGCAGGCGGUUUUGUAAGUCUGACGUGAAAUCCCCGGGCUUAACCUGGGAACUGCAUUGGUGACUGCAAGGCUUGAGUGUGUCAGAGGGAGGUGGAAUUCCGCGUGUAGCAGUGAAAUGCGUAGAUAUGCGGAGGAACACCGAUGGCGAAGGCAGCCUCCUGGGAUAACACUGACGCUCAUGCACGAAAGCGUGGGGAGCAAACAGG